rnacentral:rRNA from 1 species
UACGGAGGGUGCAAACGUUGCUCGGAAUCAUUGGGCGUAAAGCGCACGUAGGCGGCGCGUUAAGUCGGGUGUGAAAGCCCUGGGCUCAACCCAGGAAGUGCAUUCGAAACUGGCGCGCUUGAAUAUGGAAGAGGGUCGCGGAAUUCCUGGUGUAGCGGUGAAAUGCGUAGAUAUCAGGAGGAACACCGGCGGUGUAGACGGCUAUCUGGACAGUAACUGACGCUGAGACACGAAAGCGUGGGGAGCAAACAGG